UUUCCGUAGGUGAACCUGCGGAAGGAUCAUUAAAGUUAUAGCCCCCCGGCCCCUCCGCGCUGGGGUCUUCUAUACCACCCUUUGUUUAUUACACCUUUGUUGCUUUGGCAGGCCUGCCCUCGGGCUGCUGGCUCCGGCCGGCUCGUGCCUGCCAGAGGACCUAAACUCUGUUUGUAUAUGAAGUCUGGGUAUUAUAUAAUAGUUAAAACUUUCAACAACGGAUCUCUUGGUUCUG
rnacentral:misc_RNA from 1 species